rnacentral:rRNA from 1 species
CUGGGGUGCGAUUGACGCUGAGGCUCGAAAGUGCGGGAAUCAAACAGGAUUAGAUACCCUGGUAGUCCGCACCGUAAACGAUGAAUGCUCGUUCUGGGCGACACACUGUCCGGGACCAAGGGAAACCAUUAAGCAUUCCACCUGGGGAGUACGCCGGCAACGGUGAAACUCAAAGGAAUUGACGGGGGCCCGCACAAGCGGAGGAACAUGUGGUUUAAUUCGAUGAUACGCGAGGAACCUUACCCGGGCUUGAACUGCUGAGGAAGGAUACAGAGAUGUAGACGCCCUUCGGGGCCUCAGUGGAGGUGCUGCAUGGUUGUCGUCAGCUCGUGCCGUGAGGUGUCGGCUUAAGUGCCAUAACGAGCGCAACCCUUGCUGUCGGUUGCCAUCACGUAGUGGUGGGCACUCCGGCGGGACUGCCAUCGCAAGAUGUGAGGAAGGUGGGGAUGACGUCAAAUCAGCACGGCCCUUACGUCCGGGGCUACACACGUGUUACAAUGGGGGGCACAGCGCGGAGCUACCUGGUGACAGGAUGCGAAUCGUGAAAUCCCCUCUCAGUUCGGACUGGAGUCUGCAACCCGACUCCACGAAGCUGGAUUCG